rnacentral:rRNA from 1 species
UGAGUUUGAUCAUGGCUCAGGAUGAACGCUAGCGGGAGGCUUAACACAUGCAAGCCGAGGGAGAAGUUGUCUUCGGACAGCGGACACCGGCGGACGGGUGAGUAACAUGUAUGCAACUUGCCCCUAUCAGUGAGAUAACCCGGGGAAACUCGGACUAAUAUCACAUAACAAACGAAAUAGCAUUAUUUUGUUUUAAAAGAUUUAUCGGAUAGGGAUAGGCAUGCGUAGGAUUAGUUAGUUGGUGAGGUAACGGCUCACCAAGACGAUGAUCCUUAGGGGGCCUGAGAGGGUGAUCCCCCACACUGGUACUGAGACACGGACCAGACUCCUACGGGAGGCAGCAGUGAGGAAUAUUGGACAAUGGGUGAGAGCCUGAUCCAGCCAUCCCGCGUGCAGGAAGACGGCCCUAUGGGUUGUAAACUGCUUUUAUACAGGAAUAAACCUACUCACGUGUGAGUAGUUGAAGGUACUGUAGGAAUAAGCAUCGGCUAACUCCGUGCCAGCAGCCGCGGUAAUACGGAGGAUGCAAGCGUUAUCCGGAUUUAUUGGGUUUAAAGGGUCCGUAGGCGGGCUAAUAAGUCAGUGGUGAAAUCAAGCAGCUUAACUGUUUAACUGCCAUUGAUACUGUUAGUCUUGAGUGGAAUUUGAAGUUUGCCGGAAUAUGUAGUGUAGCGGUGGAAAAUGCAUAGGAUUAUUACAUAGAACACCUAUUGCGAAGGCAGGUAAUUAAGAUUUAACUGACGUUGAUGGACGAAAGCGUGGGGGAGCGAACAGGAUUAGAUACCCUGGUAGUCCACGCCGUAAACGAUGAUUACUCGUUUUUGGUAUUUAAUAUCAGAGACCAAGCGAAAGUGAUAAGUAAUCCACCUGGGGAGUACGUUCGCAAGAAUGAAACUCAAAGGAAUUGACGGGGGCCCGCACAAGCGGUGGAGCAUGUGGUUUAAUUCGAUGAUACGCGAGGAACCUUACCAAGGCUUAAAUGCAUAAUGACAGAUCCAGAAAUGGAUUUUUCUUCGGACAGAAUGCAAGGUGCUGCAUGGCUGUCGUCAGCUCGUGCCGUGAGGUGUUAGGUUAAGUCCUGCAACGAGCGCAACCCCUAUCAUUAGUUGCCAGCGUUUAAAGACGGGGACUCUAAUGAGACUGCCGGUGCAAACCGCGAGGAAGGUGGGGACGACGUCAAGUCAUCACGGCCCUUACGUCUUGGGCUACACACGUGCUACAAUGGUUGGUACAGAGGGCAGCUACACAGCGAUGUGAUGCGAAUCUCAAAAACCAAUCUCAGUUCGGAUUGGAGUCUGCAACUCGACUCUAUGAAGCUGGAAUCGCUAGUAAUCGCAAAUCAGCAAUGUUGCGGUGAAUACGUUCCCGGGCCUUGUACACACCGCCCGUCAAGCCAUGGAAGCUGGGGGUACCUGAAGUUGGUGACCGUAAAAGGAGCUACCUAGGGUAAAACUGGUAACUGGGGCUAAGUCGUAACAAGGUAACA